rnacentral:rRNA from 1 species
GUAGGUGGCAAGCGUUGUCCGGAAUUAUUGGGCGUAAAGCGCGCGCAGGCGGUCCUUUAAGUCUGAUGGUGAAAGCCCACGGGCUCAACCGUGGAGGGUCAUUGGAAACUGGGGGACUUGAGUACAGAAGAGGAAAGCGGAAUUCCAAGUGUAGCGGUGAAAUGCGUAGAGAUUUGGAGGAACACCAGUGGCGAAGGCGGCUUUCUGGUCUGUAACUGACGCUGAGGCGCGAAAGCGUGGGGAGCAAACAGGAUUAGAUACCCUGGUAGUCCACGCCGUAAACGAUGAGUGCUAAGUGUUAGGGGGUUUCCGCCCCUCAGUGCUGCAGCGAACGCAUUAAGCACUCCGCCUGGGGAGUACGGCCGCAAAGGCUG